rnacentral:rRNA from 17 species
GGACGUCAUGUCUCGUACGGCACCGAGGAAGAGGCAAACACGAUACGAGACGUGCGUUGCAGAUUCCUUUGAUUCUUCCUGUUC